rnacentral:lncRNA from 1 species
UCUUCCCCUGCUUGUCACCUGGUUGGGAACCUUUAGAGGCAGCUCAUCUUUGCAUCUCCCCAUCACAGGGAGCAGUGGUUUUGGUACCCACAGGACUUAGCCUUUGGUUUGCAUCUGUCCUUCAGAGGAGGAGGAUACAGAGGCUGGUUUUGAGAUUAUUUGGAGCUGGUGAUCAGUGAGGUCUCUUUAAGCUGAUUGAGCCAACUGUGCUGACUUAGUCAGUUAACCUAGAUAAAUACCACUCUGAGUUUUCUUUUUUCAUUUAAGAAAAAUAGUGUCAGAGUACAGGAUGGACUCCCCCAGUGGGAGAGCUGACACCAUGUAAAUGAUUCAUUAGCAGAUGCUUUAGCUGAACCUCAGCUGUUUUCACCAGUGACGUCGAUGUGACGGAGAUAUUUGUUCAGGUGAUGGGACUUGAGUGGGCCUUGGGCCAGACCUCCACCCCCAGGGACCACCCUUCUAGCACUGAAAGGCAAUAGUCUUCACACUGGCUGAAUCCUGUAUUUUCUCAAUCCUCCAAAUCCGACCAACUUCUCUAAAUUGUACUGCAAGGUUUUGGCAGCCAGAGCUCCCACUCCUUGCCACCAUCCCACCGCCACCACUGGAGGUGCUGAAGGCCAAGUACAAGCCAUCCGGGUGGAAACCUGUAUUUGAAGGUCUGCACCGCGGGCCACUGUAGGCAGAAAAUCAAGUUGGGAGUCUGAGGAAAGCUACUCUAAUCAUAGAAAAAUUCUUGUAUUAUUUGUGUUUCUCAAAUCUCACUACUCAGAGUGGGAGCCGCGGACCAGCAGCAGUAGCAGCAAUGCCUGGGAGCUUGCUAGAAACACAGAAUGUCACUCCCCACCCCAGACUAAUGAGAAUCUGCGUCUUGACAAGAUCCCUGGCUGAUGCCUGUACAGCUUUACAGUUUGAAGAGCACUGGUCUAAAGGCAACAAAUCAUGAAGAUUUUAUUUCAAAAAUCCAAGGGCCCUUGGGACCCCAGAGAAUGCCACUUCACUUGAAUAAAACCAGACCUGGGUGCCCUCUCUACCACGGGGGAAUUGCCACUUUGACCCUCCUGAACACUCUACUUAAGACUCAGGUGUGUCCCUCUUGUCUCAUCCUUCAGUGAGCCCCCACGACUGGAAGCGCCCGUGGGCAAGGACACAGGUCACGGGGCAACCUCUGCCCUCAUGUGUGCCUCUCAUCUCUCGCUCAUGCCUUCAGCACAGAACUGAGCAUUUGCUGUCCAUCAGGCCCUGGGGUGGCUCUCUGGCUACAGAGAGAAAGGAAGAUUCCUGCCCCGGAGGGGCUCCCACUCUAUGGGCUGAUGCUGGAGGGAGAGAGAUGACAGUAGCUGGUGAGUGGGAGAAGUCUUUAGACUCUCAGGCCCCACGUGCCAUCACUGACAGGCUGCUCAUGACAGCCAACAUCAGAAAGCCAAAUGUCCUGGGAGUAGGAAUCUCUGUCUUCCCGGGGAAGGCUCCAUCCAUGCAGUAUCUGUCACGUGCAAAGAGACAGCUUCCAAGACACAGCGUGUGCACGUGGUAUUGAACAUUAAAGAGAACGUAGGCUGCCGAGUGUGCUGUGUGCCAUCUUGAUGUGUUAUUCUCCUCCAAAAGAGUUUGUCUUUUUUUUUUUUUUUCAUUUAUUUUCUCAGAAAGCGAAACUCGCAUCCAGGAAAACGACAGCAUCAGGAGAGUGACUCAGUGUUCUCUCAUGUUGCUCAGUCCUCGCACUUUCUUCAAGCAGCCUGGUGGGGAGAAAAUAUUGACAAGUUUCUGUCUCACUGCUUGGUGCCUACAAUAGCACUGAGCAGGCCAUAGCAGAUUUAAAAUUUCUAUCCUUCCAUCCCAGACUCAAACUAAUGUCACUGCUAACUAGGGGACAUUAAAGGAGCCCAAACCAGCAGGUAAAUUGUCAUCAGUGAUCCUUGAGGCUGGCCCUGGUCUGACCUGGUGCCCUGCAUACCAUGAUUGCCCUGGUGAUGGGCUCAGCCCUGCCACCUUCACCACUCCGUCUUAAUGAUGGACAGUACCACAGGCAGCUCCAAACAGCCUCAGCUGCUGCAUCCCCAACCCUCAGCUCCAGCCUGCAUGUAGAACUGCCCUGGCUUCCCCAUUCCUGCUCCCUUGGACCUUUCACUGGUAAAACAGGAGACUGGAGAAAGACCUGGGGAGGGGAAUGGGGAAAAAAGCCUCACUCCAAGUCAGUAUGACUUCCUUAAGAUGACGAUGAUCGCAUUGUAAACCAGCUCAUCAACAUCUAACAGGGAUGGGAUGGUGGAAGGAGAUUUGGGGGAGGAAGAUUCAGCUGAGAUGAGAAUAAAUCUGGAAACAUCAAGAAUAGGGAGCUGGGAUCAGGUAAUUACGUGGUCUGCUAGGAACCUUAAACAUAAUUUUGAAAAGUUCAGUUGGAGUUCUAGUCUAAGCCUUUUAAAAUAAGUUUACUAUUUUUGAAAAUCACUCAAGCAAAAGGUGUUCCUUGUUUUAAAAUAAAAUAAAAAUUUAAGUGAUUAAACAUUA